rnacentral:rRNA from 1 species
AACUAGAGGAAGUAAAAGUCGUAACAAGGUCUCCGUAGGUGAACCUGCGGAGGGAUCAUU